CAAGGCAGAAAUUAUCUACUACCUUGGAGGUACACAAAAAAAUCACUCUUCGCUUUGUUGUGUAGAUAGUACCCAUAAGCAUAUGUCCAUUUCAGCACUCGCCUGCAUUCUAUGAUCUGUCACAACGAAUAAUGAAC
rnacentral:sRNA from 1 species